GGGCCCGUAGCCUAGCCUGGACAGGGCGCCGGCCUUCUAAGCCGGUGGCGCGGGUUCGAAUCCCGCCGGGCCCGCCA
rnacentral:tRNA from 1 species